GACGAAGGGGGCUAGCGUUGUUCGGAAUUACUGGGCGUCAAGCGCACGUAGGCGGCCUUUCAAGUCGGAUGUGAAAGCCCCGAGCUUAACUCGGGAACUGCAUUUGAUACUGUUGGGCUAGAGACCGGGAGAGGAUAGCGGAAUUCCCAGUGUAGAGGUGAAAUUCGUAGAUAUUGGGAAGAACACCAGUGGCGAAGGCGGCUAUCUGGACCGGUACUGACGCUGAGGAGCGAAAGCGUGGGGAGCGAACAGG
rnacentral:rRNA from 1 species